rnacentral:rRNA from 1 species
UACGAAGGGGGCUAGCGUUGUUCGGAAUCACUGGGCGUAAAGCGCACGUAGGCGGUUUGUUAAGUCAGGGGUGAAAUGCCAAGGCUCAACCUUGGAACUGCCUUUGAUACUGGCAAUCUCGAGUCCGGGAGAGGUGAGUGGAACUGCGAGUGUAGAGGUGAAAUUCGUAGAUAUUCGCAAGAACACCAGUGGCGAAGGCGGCUCACUGGCCCGGUACUGACGCUGAGGUGCGAAAGCGUGGGGAGCAAACAGG